GAUGAACGCUGGCGGCGGGCCUAAUACAUGCAAGUCGAGCGAACAGACGAGAAGCUUUCUCUCUUGCGGUUAGCGGCGGACGGGUGAGUAAAACGUGGAUAACCAACUUAUAAGACUGGGAUAAUUUCGGGAAACCGGAGCUACUACCGGCAAAUAUAUUCAACGGCUUGGUUCAAUAGUGAAUGACGGUUUUCUUGUCACUAAUAGAUGGAUCCGCGCCGCAUUAGCUAGUUGGUAAGGUAACGGCUUACCAAGGCGACGAUGCGUAGCCGACCUGAGAGGGUGAUCGGCCACACUGGAACUGAGACACGGUCCAGACUCCUACGGGAGGCAGCAGUAGGGAAUCUUCCGCAAUGGGCGAAAGCCUGACGGAGCAACGCCGCGUGAGUGAUGAAGGUCUUCGGAUCGUAAAACUCUGUUAUUAGGGAAGAACAAAUGUGUAAGUAACUAUGCACGUCUUGACGGUACCUAAUCAGAAAGCCACGGCUAACUACGUG
rnacentral:rRNA from 1 species